rfam:Pichia farinosa complete mitochondrial genome, strain CBS7064
UUUAAUGAGAACAUGAUGUUGGUUCAGAUCGAAUGCUAUAUAGAGGCAUUACACAUGCAAGUUAAAUAUGUAUUAUAUAUAUAUUUAGCGUAGAGGUGAGUGAAAAUGUAUAUGAGAAAUAUACAUACAGAUGUAGGUAUUAGAGAGGAUCUAGCCGUCGAACUGGAGCCGAUGAUUAUCGUCAGAACGGUCACAAAAGAUAUAAUCUUUCUCUUAUUAAGAGCAGCAGUGAGGAAUCUUUGACAAUGGUCUAACGACUGAUCAAGCUAUCUAUAAGAAGGAAUUUCAUAUAAAAAUAUAUAUAAUUUAUUAUAUAUAUAAAAAAAAGAAAUAAAGAUAAAACUAUAAACUUCUAAAUAUUUAUAAUAAUGAUAUAAAUAUGAGAGAGUCCUAACUAAAACAUGUGCCAGCAGCUGCGGUUAGACAUGGAGGGCUAGCAUUGUUCGGAAUGGCUUAAAGAAUCCGUAGAAUGAUUUUUAAAAUAAAUAAAAAUUAGAAUAAAGAGAUAAGUGAUAAGAACUAAGAUUAUAGAGAUGAAAUACAACGAAAAUAUUAGGACUGCAAAAGAAUCACUAAUCUUUAUUGACGUUGAGGGAUGAAGGCUACAGUAGCAACAUGGAUUCGAUACCCAUUUAGUUGUAGCAGUUAACUAUGAAUACUAUAUAAGAAACGUUAAAACGUGAAGUAUUCCGCCUGACUAGUACGCUCGCAAGGGUGAAAUACAAGACAUUAGACGGUUGUAGUCAUGAGCAGUGGAACAUGUCGUUUAAUUGGAUAAUCCUCCUUAAAUCUUACCACCUUUUGAAUUUAUUUAUAUGUCUCAUAUUUUUAAACAGGCGUUACAUCGUUGUCGUCAGUUCAUGCCGUGAGGUUUGAUAUUAAGUUAUCUAAUGAACGUAAUCCCUUUUUAUAUAAAUAUAUAUUUAUAUUUAUACAUAAAAAUGCAUAAGCUUGCGCUUAUGGGAAGUAGGGGCCGAAGACUAAUCAUGAUGACCCUUAUAAGGGUGGGCUAUAGACGUGUUACGAGGUUAUUGACAAUAAUAUAUAUAUAGUAAUAUAUAUAAAUAUAAACAAUAAGAAUAUGAAAUUUUUCAUUUAUGGAUUAUAAUCUGAAAUUCGAUUAUAUGAAAUAGGAAUUGCUAGUAAUCGUAAACAAGAGAGUUACGGUGAAAUUCUUAACUACUUCGUACUAACCACUCAUCAACAGCAAGAAGCUUUUACUUUCCUACUCUGUAGGUUCGUUACUAAGUGACCUGCUGUAAGUUGAAAUACGGUUCGGUUAGGGGAACCUGAUCGGGACUUAUUCUUUUU